UGGAGUCUGAGAUGGAGAUGGGGGUCGAAGGAAAAGUGAUGGAGAGAGAGCGAACACUAACACUGUGUAGGUGCUUUCUUAAACGCAUCUCUCUCUCUCUCUCUGUCCCUCUCUCUCUCUCUCUGUCUCUCUGUCUGUCUUUCUGUCUCUCUGUCUCGGACUAAUAGAUGAAUUGAUAGAUACAUGCUCAAUAACGAGGAGCAGCACUAAGAAGAGGAAUUGGAAACGCUCGAGUCGGCUGGGAAAGUUUUCUCCGGUCUUCUUCAUCCAACUCGACCAGGGCAUCAAUCCAGAAGAGAUUAGAAUGGAAUAUAUCAGAAAAUAGAUUCUAAAAUAUCGACAUAAACAGAAGAACAUCCUGAACUUUGUUGGAUGAAACUAUGGGGGAAGGAUAUCCUGCAUCUGUACUUGAUUUGACACAGACCGUGUGUGUGGGAUGCCACCGCCUCAUCCAUGACAAGUACCUGCUUAGCGUCAUUGAUGGCCUAUGGCAUGAGCAAUGCGUCCGGUGCGUGGCGUGUGGCGAUCCGCUCAAGAACACUUGCUUUCUCCGGGACCAGAAACUUUACUGCAAGCGCGACUA